rnacentral:rRNA from 1 species
GAUGAACGCUGGCGGCGUGCCUAACACAUGCAAGUCGAACGGAGUCGUUUUGGCAAUCUCUUCGGAGAUGGAAUUCUCGACUUAGUGGCGGACGGGUGAGUAACGCGUGAGCAAUCUGCCUUUAAGAGGGGGAUAACAGUCGGAAACGGCUGCUAAUACCGCGUAAAGCAUUAAAUUCGCAUGUUUUUGAUGCCAAAGGAGCAAUCCGCUUUUAGGUGAGCUCGCGUCUGAUUAGCUAGUUGGCGGGGUAACGGCCCACCAAGGCGACGAUCAGUAGCCGGACUGAGAGGUUGAGCGGCCACAUUGGGACUGAGACACGGCCCAGACUCCUACGGGAGGCAGCAGUGGGGAAUAUUGCGCAAUGGGGGAAACCCUGACGCAGCAACGCCGCGUGAUUGAAGAAGGCCUUCGGGUUGUAAAGAUCUUUAAUCAGGGACGAAACAAAUGACGGUACCUGAAGAAUAAGCUCCGGCUAACUACGUG